GAGCAAUGGAGAAACUAAUAGGUCCCGUUACACUUUGCGUUAGGAAGGAGUCACCUAACCUUAAAAAUGUUCCCCUAUUUGAACUAAACCAACUUUUUGUAACAGCUGAUUGGUUAGUAGUAGGAUCACCAACAUUUUUAAUUUCAUGUCCACCCAUCUUAAGAUCACCUGUCAUUGUAAAACCUGAGUGGUUAGGAAGCGCAGAUAUUUUAUCUUCAACCCACUUUUUUGAUGUAGCCUCACUAUCAAUUUUAGGCUCAAUAAGAUCAAACAGUCUCCAACCUCCCAUGGAAACAUCUGCCUGCAUAAUUCCACCUUUCAUUUUAAAGUUAUUAUCGACCACCCACUUCUUUGUGACAGCUGACUG